UGGAAAUAUAAAAAAAAUAUUUUUUUGUACCACGCAAUACUGAAAAAAAAAUCUGAAAAAAAUCACACAUAUCUAGAAAAGUUGUAAGAACACAUUUAAAUAUGAAUUAGAGUAGUACAGAAUCUCUAAAUCCUAAAAAAAAAUUUUUCAGAAUUUCAAUUUUUUUUAUUACUUCAAUUUUUGAUAAAAAAUUUUUUUGAUAAUUUUUCUUGAUACACCGUAGUAAGAUGCACAUUCAGUAUUUUUUCAAAUUUUUAUCUCGAAGCUUUUGAGGAUGGCGUGAAAUAAACGAAAAAGUACGUUUUUCACCAUAGACCCUAUGUUGAACCACGUAGGGGCUCAAAAAAAAAAACGCCAAAAUUUAUUAUUCUAUAUCCUAUUCAACAUUUGCCAUACAGCUGGUGAUUUGAUUUGGGGGCACUGUUUACUCCCUUACCCGGCCAGGCCCUUUGCUUUUACUGGUACAGAUACUUUACCAAAACUACUGCCAUUUCGUUGUAUGAUUUGAACAUUGAAGACAAUUCAAACUCUGGCUGUCCAUAUUGGAUAUUUCAUUGUGUGAAAGAAAUCUACGAAUUUUCAUGUGAACUUUAACACCUUAUUUAGUAUAGUUAAAAUGAUCCGAGUUCGAUCAAACAGAAACCCUCGUGUUUGUUGGUAAUUUUGUUCACCAGCAAUAUCCCAUACCAUAGACAGGAACAGGUGGUAAUUACUAGGUGUAAGGUCAGGUAAGAUAAAUGCAGAAGCCAAGCUCCCGAUGCUUCUGGAUAGUCACGUUUCUGAAUACAAUCAGAUUAAGAACAAGCUUCGAAAUCGAAGAUAAAUGCAUUUCCAAGAUCAAAAGAUUUGAUUGAACAUCGCUGAGGUAGAUCGAAAAUUUUAAGGAAUGUUAGUACGCAAUCUAAAUUUGGAAAGACUCUAAAUGAGCAUCAUAAAAAGCACGAGUGAUUUGAGGCUUGCAAAUAUGGUAUUUGUAGCAAGUGAAUGAAAAAUGAAGCUAAUUUUUCUCUACAACGAACAUUUUCGAUGGUACAGCUUUUCGGAAGGAAAAGUACAGAUGAAAAAGAUUUCCACCCCUUCCGGUACAGAUGAAAAUGUGGCAACACUGGUUCCUUUCCUGCCUGGGCCCGGAAAUAAUAAAUAUCUACGAGAGCUUUGAGCAGAACAGGCAGUAGU